rnacentral:rRNA from 1 species
AGAGUUUGAUCCUGGCUCAGAACGAACGCUGGCGGCGUGCUUAACACAUGCAAGUCGAGUGCGUAGCUCCUGUAGCAAUACAGGGGUGGGCGCACGGCGCACGGGUGUGUAACACGUGGGCAAUCUGCCCUCCGAUGGGGAAUAACCCCGCGAAAGCGGGGCUAAUUCCGCAUAACAUUCCCUGGACAUCGGUUCGGGGACUCAAAGCCGUAAGGCGUCGGAGGAGGAGCCCGCGCCCGAUUAGCUAGUUGGUAGGGUAACGGCCUACCAAGGCAAUGAUCGGUAGCUGGUCUGAGAGGAUGGCCAGCCACACUGGAACUGAGACACGGUCCAGACUCCUACGGGAGGCAGCAGUGGGGAAUCUUGCGCAAUGGGCGAAAGCCUGACGCAGCGACGCCGCGUGGGGGAUGAAGCUUCUCGGAGUGUAAACCCCUUUCGACUGGGACGAAUGCCCGCAAGGGAGUGACGGUACCAGUAGAAGAAGCCCCGGCUAACUACGUGC